ACAGGAAUAAAUGGAAAUAUGAAAGAAAUACUGAUGUGCCUGGCCCAUCUUGUCACACAUUGUUUUGAAGGAAGCCAGUUCUGUUUGGGAAAUGACAACAAGAUCACCUCAGGCUCCCUCUGCUGCUGUCCAGCCUCCCUGGCCCUGUGAGAAGAGUAUUCUCCCUUGGGAUCCUGGACAUCCCACCUUUGAGAGAGAUUUAUAUACGCGGUAACGAAGAGCAGGAAUGUUUGGGUACCCAAGAAGACCAUCCUGCUGAAACCCCAGCAAAACUGGAUGUUUAGGUUAGCAAGGCUGGGACCUGUUUAGCAAUGUCUCAGACACAGGAGGAUGAGCCACGCAGGAGCGAAGAUUUUUCAGAACAGCAGAUUUUCUUCCACCGCUUCUCCGGCCUCCUUCUCACCACCUCAUGCCUGCCGAGGCAUUUGUCAAAAGUUCCUUCUGAGUUCUCCAGUCCCUUUGUCCAGCGUGAUCUCUCUGAAUUCAAGUGUGAAGAAAAAGACUUUGGCUUAGGUAAGAAAAGGGGAGACUGGACAGCGGGAAAGGAAAAGAGCCACUCUGAGCAUUGGGACCAGAUGUUUUCUAGCAGUUAUCUCUUAAGCAGAGAGAGAGAAGUGCUCAAGAACACAUUUGGUACAUGUCAUGGCAGGAUUUGGGCAAAAAGAGAUAUAUGACCUCCUAAAAAGACAACAUGAAUGUAUUUAUAGGUUGGGAAUUAAAAUAGAUCGUAUAACUCACAAUAUUCAUGACACCAUCAAAUGUCUACUUCACUUCUGGUUCUAAAUUAAGGUGACCAAAUUACAAUGAUCAAAAUAAAAGAAAAUCGUCAUUAUUUUCACUCUGUAAAAGCUUCCCAGAGAACUUUGGAUCUUGGUGGGGAUAGGGCGAGGAGGGACAUCACCUUAGUCUUUACACACCAUGAGGAAAGUGAAAGAGGUGUGUUCUUGUAUGUGUAGGGGAAACCAGGAACAGCAUGAUGACAUAAUUCACCGAGGGUGGCCAAAAUCAUCGCAGGGUUCUAAGCAUCCGUAUAUAAUAUAUCCUUCACCA